rnacentral:lncRNA from 1 species
CCAAGUUAGGAUGAUCAAAGAACAACUAUUUACUACAUCAAUCCAAUGUUGUCUCGGUAACAAGUAUUUACUUAAUGCAUUCUUUUCUUGCAAAGGCCCCUGUCUUUUCUUUGCAGGGUGCAUUAUGGCACGAAUCUCUUGAUUCGUUCUUGUAGUACUUGUUUCCUCUCUCAAAGCAUCCUAACGAUGAUGUCUUGUUACUAGUUGGGAUGUCUUUGAUGUUCGUAUGUUGGAAGUUCAUAUUGUACAAUAAGAAAAUAUUAGGCCAUGUGCUAUGCUUCCAAGCAAAAGAU